rnacentral:rRNA from 1 species
GAUGAACGCUAGCUACAGGCUUAACACAUGCAAGUCGAGGGGCAUCGGUAUCGAAAGCUUGCUUUCGGUAGCCGGCGACCGGCGCACGGGUGAGUAACGCGUAUCGAACCUGCCUCAUACUCGGGAAUAGCCCUGCGAAAGUAAGAUUAAUGCCCGGUGUUUUCAGAGUCCCGCAUGAGGCUUUGAACAAAGAUUUAUCGGUAUGAGAUGGCGAUGCGUCCCAUUAGCUUGUUGGCGGGGUAACGGCCCACCAAGGCAUCGAUGGGUAGGGGUUCUGAGAGGAACGUCCCCCACAUUGGAGCUGAGACACCGUCCAAACUCCUACGGCAGGCAGCAGUAAGGAAUAUUGGUCAAUGGGCGGAAGCCUGAACCAGCCAAGUAGCGUGCAGGAAGACGGCCCUCCGGGUUGUAAACUGCUUUUAGUUGGGAAUAAAACGAGGCUCGUGAGCCCCCUUGCAUGUACCAUCAGAAAAAGGACCGGCUAAUUCCGUG